rnacentral:other from 1 species
UUCCCUGGAGUGUGCGUGAUUUAUGACUCGGUGCUGACCUUACAAGCAUAAAAUCGGGAGCUGUCCCUGCUUUUUGUGAGCACGCCCGUUUACGGGAAGCCUGUAGAAAAGUACACGGCCCCCCCCUGGGAGACCAGGUUCUGCAUCGAAGUCAUGACACGGCGCUCUGGGGAUU